AAGAAAGUGACAGAGCGGUGAUGUGGUCGGCUUGAAACCGGGUUACGGGGGUUCAAUUCCCUCCUUUCUUG
rnacentral:tRNA from 1 species